rnacentral:lncRNA from 1 species
GAUGCAGUGGUUAGGGAGAGAUAUACGCGAAAGGAAGGUCAUGGCUUUGAAACUCAUCGGUCUUGUAGCCGCAUAUUUUGCGCGAAAAAUGCCGCGACUUCAACGAGACUGGUGGGGACCUCCCUCAAAAAAAAUAUUUUCUAUUUUUUAGUUUUUUUAUUUCAGUCUUUACCGAGUGCCUAAAAAAUAGCACUCGACAAAGAUCAUUUUGCCGACGAAAAAUUUUCCGUGUGGUCUUUGUCAAGUGUGGAACUCGAUAAAUGCUUUGCCGAGUGCCAAAACACCAGAGUCUGGUAGUGAAUGAUAGUUUUUGUAUUGUGAGUGCCCUUAGUUAUAUAUAUGGAUGAGACCUAGACACUAUCUCUCAAUAAAGUUGUCUUGUUGUACCUUAAAAUAAGUGCAUGGCAGAGGUCAUAAACCGUGCUGGAUGAUUUUUUUUAAGCUCAUUUAGGUGCUGAAAUAAUCAUGAAAACUUUAAUUAGAACAUAAAGUGUCGAGAGUAAAGUUACAUGAACUCUCCAAAUCACACACGUUUGGAAGGCUACGAAGGGGAAGGCUUUUAGGACUUGUGUACUUUAAACAAAGCACACGACCCUUGACUUAUGAGUAGAAAAAUCUCCAAAGAUGAUGAGGAUCAGCGGUAACAGGGAAAAAAAUCCUUCGACUGACUUCUCCACCUGUUCCAAUUUGGUUUUUCAUUAUUUAUCUACUAUAUUCCUAUGUUUAUUUUGGUGCAUUUGAUGUGGCUAGCAAAUAAGGCCUUCUUUAAUUCGCGAAGAUUUUUGGAUUUGGUUAGUGUAGCACUUUCGUUUGUAUUUAGUAAUUAUUAUCGAACCGUAGAUUAACUGGGCUCAAAUAAUUCGUCUUGCAAAUUAUAGGUAAACUAUGUAAUUAGUUUUUUUAUCUAUAUUUAAUGUUUUAUGUAUGCGUGCAAGAAUUCGAUAUGACGAGAAACUUUAAAAAAUUUUAAGAACUAAACAAAGCCUAAGUACUUCGUCAAAUAUGAACAUCCUGCGAUCCUGUCCCUGUCUCCAUCUGAAAAAAGCACGCAAACGCAAGGACGGACAGAGCCGAAGACCCUCGGUCAAGCAAUUGCAAACAAAAUCAGAAAGUUUCCCGGUAUUACAUUAGGAAACUACCUGUCCCCUGAUGUCGUCGUCAAAACUAAGCACCCAGAAGUCCAAGUCGUUUAACAAAUAUAGUAAAAAAAAGGCCCGUACAUACUAUCUGUGGGAAAAAUCGAGACACCGAUCGUCCCAUAUCCUUGCGUACUUUUUUUUCUCAAUUAUUUGUUCUGAGUUGAAUGGGUCAAUAAAUAAAUAAAUUGGACACGGAAUAGGCGCAGCUCGUCUUGCUAUAAUACGCCGGCCUCUAUAAAGCCCAUAGUAGCAGCCGGCCAACCUCUCUGUCUACUACUACUGUGUGCUAUAGCCGUCUACCCAACUAGGACGUCACAACUCACAUCUUGCUAGUACCGGGCGUGGCCAUGUCGCCGAGGGCGAUCGCCUGGUUGCUGGCUCUCUUCCUCGUCCUCGCGCUGAUCGUCUCAGGUGCGCCACAUGAGAUGUCCACUGCAUCAUCGAGGAGGGCUUUGGCGGAAGCGGGACAGUCAGGGGAACCUUUAGGCUGCUGCAGCGGCGGCCGCGGCGCUGGUUCACAGCAGCAGCGCUGCCCUCGACAAAAGUGCCCUCCUCCAAGGGGCCGAUGAUAACUGGACGUCAAACUUCCAGUAAUCAUCCAUAUUAGUUUUUAAGUGUAUGUAUGUUUUCAGAACAAGUGUGUCCUUUGUUUUCUUAUUAUACAAGUCAUGCUUCAUGGCGACGUUACUUGUCAUGAUCCUAUGAAUUUACUUUUAGUACAUUCGGGUCCAAGUUCAAUGAAGUAAAUUAUCAGGAUCCAGAGUUCCGUGAGUGAGACGUUGUAAUAUUAAGUUUGUUCCAAUUUAUAUACUAUAAUACUUCUAUACCUAAUACUCCCUUCGUCUACGAAAGAGUCAGUUUCUAAAAUUAUCCUAAGUGAAACUUUUUAAACUUUGACCAAAUUUAUAAAAAAAUGCUAAGAUUAUGGUAUCAAAUUAGUAUCAUUACAUUCAUCAUAGAAUAUAUUUUCAUAUGAUGCGCAUUUUAUGUCAUAAAUGUUGUUACUCUUUUCUAUAAAAUUAGUCAAACUUAAAAAAGUUUAACUGGCAUGGAUUUUAGGAAUUGAUCCUUUCGUACACGGAGGGAGUACUAAAAAGUGAAAAUUUCAUCCCAUUUUUUUGUGUUUGACCUCCCCAGCCCCCCAAGAACUAUAGUGCAAAAUUUCUUCCAUCUCAAUUACACUCUUCGUGUCUGCUAUGUGACCCGAACUUAUAUCACUCAUGCUCAUACAAGUUAUGCAACUCGGAUCUAGCGUUGAUGCGUACUCUGAUUUUAAGACAUACUAAGUCACACUCUCUAUCUCAUGUGACCUAGACUCAUGAGCGGUGCUCAUACCAGUGAGAAUGACUUCCACCUAGCUAGCGAUGGUAUGUAGUCUCAUUUCAAUAUGUAUUAGAUUUUAUUGUAACACAGACAUAUUUACUAGUAUAUUAUUAAAUAAGAAAAAUUUCUCCACAUAAGAUAUCACUACGUGAAAAACUUAGUAAGAGAGCGCCCCCCACACUGUAGGGGCGGCUAACAUUUGAACCGCUCUUACAGUGGCUAGGCAGGCAACCAGGAAGUGAGCCGCCUUUGCAGUGUUCUCUGUAGGGGCAGUUGAUCUUACCAGCCGCCCUUACAGUGGGGGAGGCACUGUAGGGGCGGCUGUAGCAUAAGUGGUCAGCCCACUCUUCUUCCUCUCCGAGCCACUCAUUUUCACUCGCAAAAAAACGCUUGGGAGGCUUUGGGCACCUCCCUAAAAUCACUCUAGUAAGGGGGAGAGGUUUUGAACUCCUUUGGUGGGGAGCUUGUUUAAGGUAAGAAACUGCUAUUCCCACCCUCUAAUCCUUAUUGGUUAGUUAGUGAGCAAUUUACAUUUUGGUUUUCUCUCUCUUCCAUGGAGCUUGAGCUUUGUGUUGACCAAAUUAGAGCUUAUCUAUGAUGCUAUUAGUGUAGAAUAGGUAGAGACACCACCUUGCACCAUCAAUUAGGUGAUAUAGCUUGAUUUUAAUGGAGAUUAAUUGUAGUUUCAUGUAUGGAGAGAAAAGGCAUUCUAGAUCUAGGGUUUCUUUUUUUGUUUUUGUUUCAUAAAAUUGGAAUGUGGUUGGCAUAAAUAGUUAUUGGUAAACUAAUAGUUGUUGCUAAUAUUAAUUGUUUCUAAUAAUGGUAGAUAAUAAUAGGUACUAUUAAUUAUGUCUAAUAAUCGUUUCUAACACAAUUAUUGCUAAUAAUGAUAGCUAAUAAUUGUUGCUAAUAAUGGUAGAUAAUAAUUGUUACCUAUUAAUUGUUGCUAAUAAUGGUAGAUAAUAAUUGGUGCUAUUAAUUAUUUCUAAUAAUCGUUUCUAACACAAUUAUUGCUAAUAAUGAUAGCUAAUAAUUGUUGCUAAUAAUGGUAGAUAAUAAUUGUUACUUAUUAAUUGCUGCUAGUAAUUAUUCUCAAGUAAUUAAUUUUUUUUAUUUAUGUAAAGAUGGAGAAUAGGGCUACUUGGAUGUAUGGUUUGCCAAGGUACUCGCAAGCCUAUGCUGAUGAGGUGGACAAAUUUAUUACUGUCGUGGUGAAUCAUGCAAAGACGUUGUCAGCAGGAAAUAAUUGUUCAGUUAUUUGUCCCUGUAAAGAUUGCAAGAACCAUUUAGCAACUUAUGAUGUGGAAAUCAUCAGAUCACAUCUGAUUAGGCGAGGAUUUGUUCUGAACUACACAGUAUGGCUUCAUUAUGGUGAAGUAAUGUUUCUUGACGGCAACGAUGAUGACCAAGAAGAUGAUGCUGAAGAAGGCCAAUUGUUGUCCCAAUACGCAGACAUGUUUGAAGCACAAAUGCAACAUGAUUUAGCCAAUGAACAAGCACGUGGUGAUGAUGCCGGUGGUGUCGACAAUAAUGAUGGGGAUGUUGGUGGUGUUGACAAUAAUGAUGCUGGAAUAUGUGAGUGGGAUGCAGAAAACUUUGACAACUUAGAGGAAAUGCUUCGUGCCAUUGGACCAGAAAUACUACAACAGAAGAAGGGUCUAGAAAAUCUAGAGCGGAUGAAAACAGCGUCAAAGGAGACUGUGUAAUGUGUUGACAAGGGCUGUCCAACACACUAGACACUCCUCUAUUUUGUGCUUGAGCUACUCAUCCUGAAGGCUAAGUACGGUUGGUCAGACUGCAGUUUUGACAAUCUGUUGCAUCUUCUGUCAUCUAUGCUGCCACUGUCGAACUUAGUUCCCUCCAACACAUACCAUGCUAAGAAGCUCAUAAGUCCAUUGACAAUAGGUGUUGAAAAGAUCCAUGCAUGCCCCAACCAUUGUAUCCUUUUUCGUGGUAAAACUUUCGAAGGUCUGGAUAAAUGUCCUCGUUGUGGGGCAAGUCGGUACAAGGAUAAUGACCUUUGUAGUGGCGGAGAAGCCUCCACCGGGAACAAGAGGAGUAAGAAGGGUUCCAAAAAGGCGGUACAAGAAUCUCGACCUCCAGAGGACACCCCAUUAGGCAACGACGCAAAGAAGAGAAAAAUUCCUGCCUUGGUAAUGUGGUAUCUGCCAGUGACCAACCGCUUGAGGCAUAUUUUCCUGAACCCUAAGGAAGCCGCGUUCAUGACAUGGUGGGACGAUGAGCGCAAGGUCGAUGACGAUGUGAUUGCACACCCGGCCGAUGGCAGUCAGUGGCAGGACUUUGAUAAUAACAACCCACUGUUCAGUUCGGACCCAAGGAAUGUACGGUUUGCCUUGAGCACCGAUGGAAUGAAUCCCUUCAACGAGAGGACGAGCAACCAUAGCACAUGGCCAGUGAUCUUAACCAUGUGUAAUACCUGAUUUUAAGGACAAAAUCAGAUAUCCACCAUAUGUGAGUUUUAGAAGUCAAAUCCCACAUAUAGCUACAAAUAAGGGGUAAUAUCAAAAGACAAUGCAUAAAUAUAUAACGUACUUAGUAUAAAAGAGAUAACCUUUGAUAGCAACAGCGGAUAAACAACUCCAAACUUCGGGUAUUAACUUCUCUCUACAGGAUCCAACUGACUGGUUGAUCACAAGCCUAAACUUCUCCUGAGGUUUGGGGGAAAUAGCAAGAGUGAGUCCAUGUCAAACUCCACAAGUAUAGCAACUAGAUUGUAUAUAUCCCACAAUCUCAUGAUCAAUGUGACAUAAAUAAUGUAGAGCAUUAAACAAUAAAUAUGAGCAUAUUAACACAACAAGAAUCAUCACCCUUAAUGUAGAUGUCCCCAAGGCCGCUCCUGGCCAUGAGCUCGGCUAGUAUACUAGUUUCUAACACUCUGCAGAGGUUGUACAUCUUUACCCAUGAGUCAUGAUUUACCCUUUCGCCCGAGGUAGCUAAUCUCUUAACCCCUUCCUAGGGAGGUCGGCAGGGAUCACUAUGAAGCCUUUCAAAGAUUUCGUCUAACAAGUUAGGGUCAUUAGAUUCACUCGGCAGGCAGAUAUAGAGCCCCCUUCCAUGGCACAUAACCCGCAGCCUAUACACACGGACAGAGGCCACACUAUACCCAACGUGUCUAGCCAUUCUUACGCCAUUUAAGGUAACCGCUAACAAGCUAGAAAAAGGUCCUCAUACUGAGCUAAAGCCAGAGCCAUUAUAGCCCUCAUGGUUGCACUGUUAUCCCGGGUGAUCACGUACAGGCAAAUCAUCUAGUUGCUAAAAAGUCAUUUUUAUCAUUUAUUACUUAACAUUAAUCUAGUCACAGGAUCAUGGUCACAGAAAUAAAAUCCCAAUGCUAUACUUACUUUAAUCCAAAUGCUCUUGUUGAUCCUUUUAGUCCUACUGGUCUUACUUGAUGCCAAAGCUCUGAUCUUGAUCACCAAAAACUGCUUUCCGUCUAAACUCGAUCAUCGAUCACACAUACAAGCGGAAACAAACAUACACGAAGCAAACAAAGCUACAAUUAGAACAGUACACCAAUCAUAUAAAAACAAUAUUAAAAAUUUUGUAAAAUGAUUCUACGCAUCGCUACGAUCUCACAGACAUAAAGAUCGCGAAAAUCGGAGCUAAAACGGAAAAGUUAUGAAUUUUCUAAGAUUUUAUAUAUAAAAGUAAUUAAUUAAAUAGGAUCACGAAAUUAAAAGGUUUCAAACUGAGUAAACAAUAUUAUUAACAUGUAUAGCUCAUGAUUAUGAACCUAACGCAAUUUGAAUGGGUCAAAUCGGAUUUAAAAUGAGCAUUCUAUGUCUAAAACAAAAUCAAUGGCAGUUUUGUAAAUACAGAAAACGUAUUUCAAAAUACACUGAGUCGGUUUACGCUUUCAUAUAAUGGAAAACACAUUUUGCUGAGUACGCUGAGGGACUGCGGGUUUAUACUUAAAAAGGGAAGGGGGUCUUUAGAAAAAUUUCAAGUGAAGGGGUAAGAUCUGUUCUCAUCCGUUGAUCUGAUAUCCGAAGGUGGAGAUGGAUCCAGGGAGCUGGGUAGUGGCCGGCGGUGAUCUCCCGCGGUGGGGCGCCAUGGCCGACGUCAUGAGCUCGCCGGAGUUCAUAGAAAAAAUGCGCUACGGUCCACUAUUCGCUAAACCGAUAGCAUGGGGAGACAGAGGGGGAAACGACGAACUCACCCCGAGGCAAAAUCGAAGGCAAGGACAACUCGGAGAUGACCGACGUUGUGAUUUGGCGAAUCCUGGGUCCCUGCGAGGUUCGGCGAUCAUCUGAGAAGGACAGGGGCUGGUAGAGUGCUCGGAAAGAGGAUCGGGAGCUUCUUUACCAAGUUGUGAAGCCCGGCCACUGCUCAAAUUCGACGGCACGACCGUGUAUAAGGCGCUCCGCGGCGGCGGCUUCCUGUGCUUUUCGGCAAGAUCCAAAAUAGGAUUAGGCGUUCUCGCGAUGACCAAGCAAGGAAAAGAAACACGGAGGGAAGGCUGGGGAACGUAUAUAGGCAGGGGCGAUCUUCUCACAGGAAAAUCCCGUGGAACUCGGGAUUUGGUUCUCGUUCGCUCGGGCCGUGUCCUGCUUGACACGCGAACAAGAAGAAGGAAAGGGGAAGGAGAUGCUGACGGCUAUGUCCCACUGGUCAGCGACACAAGGGGUGGGGUCGGCCUGUCGGUGAGAAGGGGGAAAAGGAGGAAAGAGGCGCGGGGGGCAGGCUGGGCUUCGCGGCCCAGGAAAAAGGAGAGGGGGAGGUUUUUCCUUUUCUUUUGUUUUUUCUUUCUCUUUUAUUCCAAAAGGCAAUUGAAACUCAUUUCAAAAUCUUUCUAAAUCAUUUUGAAUUUUUAGUUCAAAAACACUCAGCACAAUAAAUAAAAAUGCAUAAGCAUGAGUGCACAAAAAUGUUGCUACACCCUAUGAUUAAUUUUAAUUGACGAAAAAUAUUAUUGUUCCUAUAUUUUCAUGAGCACAAAAUACACAAUUAAAUCAUUUUUCUCCUAUUUUAAAAGUUGUAAAUUUUUGGGUGUUACAAAUCUACCCCCCUUAAAAUGAUCUCGUCCUCGAGAUUCGGAAGAGACACGGAAUCCAAAAGAGAAACAGGAAAAAGAUCUUGAUAACUAUUUUAACUUCACAACUUGUAUUCCAAUGUAAACACUUAUGUCUCGGGAUCACAACUGGUGAACAAAACAUCCAUAAAAUGUCUAUUAUUCAUAGCUGAUUAAAAAACCAUCUUGACUACCAACUUUUUGGAUUAUACAACUCAAAGACAUGAUAACUUAGCAUAGAUAUGCCUCCUCAUGUAGGAGUGGACCAUCUUGAUACUCAAUUCUUUUCCCUGAUGGUGCGGUUAAGAAAAGUUUCCACUGGGUAGCAUAGAUCACUGCCUUGUGUGCACAUAACCAUCCAUUGCCAAGAACCAAAGGAAUAUUGAGUGACUCUAGCACAAUAGGGUUUACUGUGAAGUUCUCCUUGCUUAUGACUAGAUUAAUAUUCGAGCAAACCUGGUCUGCCUGUAUUUCUCCCUUUGGAGUUUGAACUAACAAAAGCUUCCUUGUUGGACACUUCACCCGCUCAAUUGUUUUUACCAAGUUGGCAGAAAUGAAAGAAUGGGAAGCACUUCUGUCAAACAGAGCAAAAACCAACACUGAGUCCACUUGAACAUAACCACCCACCACUUUGGUGACUCCUUGAAUGUUAUUCAUAUCCAUAUUGUUCAGUCUUCCAUUGAUAUAAUUUUGUUGUACUUUAUUUCCGUGAGCAGUCUUCUUACGGGCUUUCCUUUUUUGCUUCCGUCGUUGUGGAUUCUGAUUUGAUUCAAUGUCAACUUGCUCUUCCGUAUUAUUACUUUGAUAACACUCAGCUUUGUCAUACUCAUAGCAUCUUUCUUCAAAGGCAAGAUGAUCAUAUUCUUCCCACCUAUCCAUGAGAGGUGUCAUAUUGUGCUCCGGAUUCAUGGGACACUACACUCCCUGUCAUCAAGUGACCAACGUCAGUAACACGAUAAGGAUAGAUGAUCAUAACCAUAGAAUAUCUCAGAAGACAAUUAUCACUUCAAGCUAGUUUUAAAAUGCAUCAUCCGUGAUAUCAAGGUACUACCCUCUUAAAAUUAGAUUGAUUGGGGGACACUAGAGACUAGUUCUCCUAUCCUUUUUGGACGCUACACAUCAUAGUCUUUUAAAUUUGCUUGUACCGAGUAUCUUGAUCCAAGGUUGGUUUCAUCACUAAGUUCCAUUUAUCGGUACCUUAGUCAUGGUUAAGUUGCUUCACUCUCACGUUGUACAUAUAGCUUUGUAGACUUUGGUGUCAUCUGAUCCUCAUAAACACAACUCUCAAUCCAUGAGUAUCAGCAAUGACAUAUAUCUCUGUUAGUAUUCUCUCAAUGGGAUGAUAUCUUGAAUCAAACCAAUUUACCAAGCGCUUGUGAUCCUCACAUAUGAUCCAACAUUAGCCAAUCCUUCUCAUUGUAACUCCUUUAAUUAGGCUACCCUCCUUAAAAGGGUCAACUAGGGGACACAAGAAAGGUAGCUCGCAUGUUUUCCAGGCAAUUUAACUAACAUUAAGAACUUCUGACAUCCCAAAGAGCUUAUGUGCAAGAGAAUAAACAUGUAUCCUGAAGUUUUCCCGCGAUAUGAAAAACACCAGCAUAGAAAAACAGGUAUAACUCCCAUUCUGUUAAUCUAAUAGAGUUAUAGAUUAUAAGUUUUGUGAAAAAUAUUAGAAUCAACAUGUCGGAUGAACAAAUGACUAAACAACCACAAUAAACUUUAUAGAUCUUAAGAAGUUAUAAAAUUUACAGUUGGCAACUUUUUCAUUUGUGUUUAUUUUGUCAUGCAAAACUGCGUCUUUAUUUGAAAUUUUUCAAACGAUCUUGGAUAGAAAAACUUCCUGAAUAAACUAUGUAGCUCUUGAAAAAUUAUGAAACUUUGUACAUGACAAUGUUUUGAUUUGAAAUCAUCUUGUCAUGCAAAAACUACAUUUGAAUUUCUCAAAGUUAAAAUUCAAAAUUUGUAAACUACCUCGGAUGGAGAAACUCUCUAAAUGAAAAUUAUAGAUCUCAAAAAGUUAUGAAACUUUGUUGUUGACAACUUUUUGAUUUGAAAUCGUUUAGGUCCUUAAACAAUCAUUUCACACGUGGUUUGGUAUAAUAUACGAGGAACUAAAAUGCAAUAUAGACACAAGUGAUAGUGUGAUGCAGUGGUUAGGGAGAGAUAUACGCGUAAGGAAGGUCAUGGCUUUGAAACUCAUCGGUCUUGUAGCCGCAUAUUUUGCGCGAAAAAUGCCGCAACUUCAACGGAGACAGGUGGGGACCUCCCUCAAAAAAAUAUUUUCUAUUUUUUUAGUUUUUUUUUCAUUUCAGUCUUUACCGAGUGCCUAAAAAAUAGCACUCGACAAAGAUCAUUUUGGCGACGAAAAAUUUUCGGUGUGGUCUUUGUCAAGUGUAGAACUCGAUAAAUGCUUUGCCGAGUGCCAAAACACCAGAGUCUGGUAGUGAAUGAUAGUUUUUUUAUUGUGAGUGCUCUUAGUUAUAUAUAUGGAUGAGACCUAGACACUAUCUCUCAAUAAAGUUGUCUUGUUCUACCUUAAAAUAAGUGCAUGGCAGAGGUCAUAAACCGUGCUGGAUGAUUUUUUUCAAGCUCAUUUAGGUGCUGAAAUAAUCAUGAAAAGUUUAAUUAGAACAUAAAGUGUCGAGAGUAAAGUCACAUGAACUCUCCAAAUCACACACGUUUGGAAGGCUACGAAGGGGAAGGCUUGUAGGACUGUGUACUUUAAACAAAGCACAUGACCCUUGACUUAUGAGUAGAAAAAUCUCCAAAGAUGAUGAGGAUCAGCGGUAACACAGGGAAAAAAAAAUCCUCCGACUGACUUCUCCACCUGUUCCAAUUUGGUUUUUCAUUAUUUAUCCUACUAUAUUCCUAUGUUUAUUUUGGUGUGUGCUCAUUUGAUGUGGCUGGCAAAUAAGGCCUUCUUUAGUUCGCCAAGAUUUUUGGAUUUGGUCACUGUAGCACUUUUGUUUGUAUUUAGUAAUUAUUAUCGAACCAUAGAAUAACUGGGCUCAAAUAAUUCGUCUUGCAAAUUAUAAGUAAACUAUGUAAUUAGUUUUUUUAUUUAUAUUUAAUGUUUUAUGUAUGCGUGCAAGAAUUCGAUAUGACGAGAAAUUUUAAAAAUUUUUAAGAACUAACAAGGCCUAAGUACUUCGUCAAAUAUGAACAUCCUGCGAUCCUGCCCCUAUCUCCAACUGAAAAAAGCACGCAAACGCAAGGACGGACAGAGCCGAAGACCCUCGGUCAAGCAAUUGCAAACAAAACCAGAAAGUUUCCCGGUAUUACAUUAGGAAACUACCUGUCCCCUGAUGUCGUCGUCAAAACUAAGCACCCAGAAGUCCAAGUCGUUUAACAAAUAUAGUAAAAAAAGGCCCGUACAUACUAUCUGUGGAAAAAAUCGAGACACCGAUCGUCCCAUAUCCUUGCGUACUUUUUUUCUCUCAAUUAGGGGUUGUUUAGAUGCAAAAACUUUUUGGAUUUUGAUACUAUAGCACUUUCGUUUUUACUUGACAAACAUUGUCCAAUCAUGGAGUAACUAGGCUUAAAAGAUUCGUCUCGCGAUUUACAGACAAACUGUAUAAUUAGUUUUUAUUUUUUAUCUAUAUUUAAUACUCCAUGCAUGUGCCGAAAGAUUCGAUGUGAAGGAAAAUCUUGUAAAAGUUUUAGGUUUUGAGAUGCAUCUAAACAAGGCCUUAUUUGAUCUGAGUUGAAUGCGUAAAUAAAUAAAUAAAUUAGACACGGAAUAGGCGCAGCUCGCCUUGCUAAUAAUACGCCGGCCUCUAUAAAGCCCAUAGUAGCAGCCAACAUGGGCGGCGCCAGGGGUAUGCCCCUGUAUUCCAUGGAAUAUCCAUGAUUUUUGUGAUAAAUACAAAUAUAUGUAUAUAUACACACAUAUAUAAUCAGUAUAUAUGUUAGUUUGUUGAAUGAUGUAAAUAUGUAGCCUAUAAGAGCAUCUCCAAGAGAUUAGCCAAAUCAUUUUCUAAAGGUAAAUUUGGCUAUUGUUGAAGGAAAAAUGUUUGACUCUAUUAAUAACUCUUCAAAUUUAGCAGCUCUUCAUCCCGCCUUAUUCGCUCUCUACUUUUGGAUAGCCUACCUCACUAGUCAUUCUUUUAUAGAGUCUGUUGGAGUACUCUAAUAUCUUUUUGUCAAAUCUAUUUUAGAGAGUAGCUAAAUCAGUAAAUUUGGCUAAUCUUUUUGGCUAUUCUCUUGGAGAUGCUCUAAGAGCAACUCCAAUAGUCUGGCUAAAAUUAAUUGUCAAAUUCUAUUGUUUGGCUAUUUUGUCGAAUAGAAAAUUUCUAAAAAAAUAAGAGAUCUACAAUAAUCUUGUUAUUUUACAAAGUCUUAUAGUUAGCGUCUGUAAUAAGCUAUAUAUAGCCACUGAAAAUCAAGAGAAAGCUAACUUCCUAAUUUACAAAAUUAAAUAUCAUAUUAGUUGGAGUCUACUUUUUGCUACAAAUUCUAAAAUAGCAUAAACAACAAGAAUAGUUAAACUCUUGAAGUUGCUCUAAGCCUAGUAGAACAACUAGUAGCGGCAACCCAUGAACUCAUCAGAAACAAACCCCAUCGACGGCAUUCCUCUAGCGGCGGCGGUCAGUGGUCUUUGUAGGCUUUCUCAUAUACGGCUCCCCCUCAACGCCUUUCUCAUAUACGGCUUGAAGCAAUAACAAGGUAAACAUAAAGAUCCCACAUCUAUUUUUUAUUCUUCAAAGUAAGAAUUGAAGGUUUCGUUUUCUUCUUUUUUUUGUUGCGUUCUGAUUUUUUUUAAAAAAAAUAUUGCAUUAUGUUCCUGUAACAUAGAUAAAGAAUUUAUAUACACUUUGAUUAUUACCAGGGGCGACACUAGGCUCACUUUGUCUGAUGCCUUGUUACCAGGAUAAAUAAAUAUUUUACCUAGCAUAUAUUUUAAGGAAAUUAUAUGUACUACUUGAGCUGUGCACCAGAAUUAAUUUUGUAUUAAUUUUAUCCUCUAUUAUUAUUGCACAUAUGCAUUGAAAAAUUUUUAUACGUGGAAUACCCAGCUGUGAAAUCCUGGCUCCGCCACUGGCAGCCAACCUCUCUGUGCUAUAGCCGUCUACCCAACUAGGACGUCACAACUCACAUCUAGCUAGUAUAGUAUGACGGGCGUGGUCAUGUGUAACACCCAAAAUUUGAAUUUCAAUUAAUAGGAUUUAAUUUGAAUUAUUUAAGAAUUUUAGUGAGCAUUUAACGUAGCAAAUAAACAAUUUUUGUGGAAAUUUAAAAUUUAUCAUAAGCUUAGUAACAUGAUUUUGUGCAUUCAUGCUGAGACAUAUUUUAUUUUGUGGUGAUUGUAUUUGGUUCAUAUUUAAUUGUCAUCAAAAUCCUUUUUGAAAAAGACUUUGAAAAAAAAGAGAAUAAAACAAAACAGAAAAGAAAUUGGAAAUAGGAAAAAAAAAAGAAAGGAAGCCUCCCAGGCCGCAGCCCGAGCAUCCCCUUCCCCCUCGCCUCGGCCCAGCGCGGCCCAGGAAGCCCGCGCGCUGAUCCCCUCCAGCCUGGCCCCGCAGCGCAGUGUCCUGUUCAUCUUCCCGAGCGUCACCGAGCAGGACACCAACCGGGAAGCCAAACCGAAUCCCGGGAAGUCGGGAUUUCUUGCCAAAAUCGUUUACUCGGCGCCCUAUAAAGCUCCCUAGCACCGCAGCGAACCCCUUUUGCAUCUAAAACGCGAAGCCAAGCCUUAGCCACCUAAAACCGAGCGGUUUCGGAUCUCGCCGAGAGCCAAGUCCUCCGCCGCGCGCCGCGAGCCGUUUUCAUCACCUCCCGGGUCAAGCAAAGGGUUCCAAUAAGUUCGCGGUGAGCUGUUCGUCAUCCUGGAGUUUUUCUUUCUUGAAACGGUGCUCGGAAACUAAAAGUGUGCGCCGAUGAGCUCCCGGUGACGCCCAUGGCGCGCCACCGUGCUGGAAACCGGCCGGGCUGCUGCCACUGAUUUGUUUUUCCUCAUAAAAUAUUCAUUUUAACUUCGUUUUUGUCCGUUCAAAUUUCGUUGGAUUCGUAUUUACGAGCACUACAUGUUAGAAAUAUUAGUUUACUGUUUUGAAACUUUUUAUUUUUGCAGUAGCAUUUAAUUAAUUAUUUCUCUAUAGGAAAUCUUAGAAAAUUCAUAUCUUUCACGUUUUAAUUCCGAUUUUCGUGAACUUUACGUUUGUGUGAUCGUAACGCUGCGUAGAAUAUUUUGAUAAACUUUUAUCUUUGUUUUACCACUGUUUGGUGUAAUGUUCUAAUUAUAUCUUGUUUGCUUCGUGUAUGAUUGUCUACAUUGGAAUGCGUGUUGUUGAUUGAUGAUUGGGAUUAGACGGUGAGCCGUACGUUGGUGACCAAGACCAAGCUUUUGAGGACCAGCAAGCUCAGGAGAGCUUUGAGCAAGGCAAGUAUAACUUGGGAUCAUCCUUGUUACCUAUUCACUUAAGUACAUAUAUAUCAUAUGCAUGCUAUCACCUUGUCGACCUUAGCAAAAUCAUAGAUGAUUGUUACCUGGAUUCCUUGCUACCUACUUGAUAUGUAUUUGUUGUAGAUGUGCUAGUGCUUGAUAUAAUCCAUGAUCUUGUAAAAUGAUUAAUAACUAUGCAAUGAACUUAAAAGAAUGACAAAUAACUGUAUGAGAUCUUGUCUGUAAGUGAUCACCGGGACAACAGUGCAACCAUGAGGGCUAUAAUGGCUCUGGCUUUAGCUCAGUAUGAAGCCCUUUUCUAGCUUGUUAGAGGUUAUCCGAAAGGGCGGAGGGGCUGAACCGUUUUGGGUAUAGUGUGGCCUCUGUCUGUAUGAGUAUAGGCUGCGAGUCAUUGUGCCAUCGGAAGGGGCUCUAUAUCUGCGCGCAAAGGAAACCUUGCGGCCCUAACUUGUUAGACGAACUUUUGAAAGGCUUCAUAGUGAUCCCUGCCGACCUCCCUAGGAAGGGGUUUAAGAGAUUAGCUACCUCGGGCGAAAGGGUAAAUCAUGACUCAUGGGUAAAGAUGUACAACCUCUGCAGAGUGUAAAACUGGUAUACUAGCCGUGCUCACGGUUAUGAGCGGCCUUGGGGGUUCUUGCUGCGCCGACAAUGAGCUUAUUAAGUUGUUAUGUUCAUUUGAUUAUCGUUUAUGCUAUGAGAUUAAUUAUGCUUACACUUGAUCAUGUGAUUAGUGGAUUAUCUAUGCUACAUUGGCAUUUGCUAUUUAAUUAUGAAUAUGCUAUCCACUAUUAAAAGCUAAAUGCAGUCAAACCAGUGUUAGCUAUUUGAGUCUCAUGAACCCCUGGUUAUACUCGUUGAGUACGAUAUGUGCUCACUCUUGCAAUUUCCCAACACCUCAGGAUAUGAUAAUGAAGAUGACUGGAAUGAGGAUUAUCGCUAUGAGUACUAGGUUUGGAGUCAACCAGUCAACAGUGUCCCUGUGUGGAGCUUCCGUUGAGAGCGUUGUUUACUUUAUGUUAUCAUUUUUGUAUGAGACUAUGUGAUAUUUUAUAUUCCGCUAUGUAAUAAACACUGCAAUGGUACAUUUGAGAUUUGUCUACUUAUGUGUGCGACUGUUUCUGAGGCACAUAUGAGUCUUUUAUGCAUCCUAUUUUGUUCUUAAAAUAUGGGUGUGACACCGUGUCCCGGAGGGCGAUCGCCUGGUUGCUGGCUCUCUUCGUCGUUCUCGCGCUGAUCGUCUCAGGUGCGCCACAUGAUAUGUCCACCGCAUCAUCACCGAGGAGGGCUUUGGCGGAAGCGGGACCUUUAGGCUGCUGCAGCGGCGGCCGCGUCGCUGGUUCACAGCAGCAGCGCUGCCCUCGACAAAAGUGCCCUCCUCCAAGGGGCCGAUGAUAACUGGACGUCAAACUUCCAGUAAUCAUCCCAUAUUAGUUGUUAAGUAUAUGUACGUUUUCAGAACAAGUGUGUCCUUUGUUUUCUUAUUAUACAAGUCAUGCUUCAUGGCGAC